GACGAACGCUGGCGGCGUGCUUAACACAUGCAAGUCGAACGCUGAAGCUUGGUGCUUGCACUGGGUGGAUGAGUGGCGAACGGGUGAGUAAUACGUGAGUAACCUGCCCUUGACUCUGGGAUAAGCCUGGGAAACUGGGUCUAAUACUGGAUAUGACAUGCCACUGCACGGUGGUGUGUGGAAAGGGUUUUACUGGUUUUGGAUGGGCUCACGGCCUAUCAGCUUGUUGGUGGGGUAAUGGCCUACCAAGGCGACGACGGGUAGCCGGCCUGAGAGGGUGACCGGCCACACUGGGACUGAGACACGGCCCAGACUCCUACGGGAGGCAGCAGUGGGGAAUAUUGCACAAUGGGCGGAAGCCUGAUGCAGCGACGCCGCGUGAGGGAUGACGGCCUUCGGGUUGUAAACCUCUUUCAGCACGGAAGAAGCGAGAGUGACGGUACGUGCAGAAGAAGCGCCGGCUAACUACGUG
rnacentral:rRNA from 1 species